AACUGGUCGGGAACUAAUGCUGCUCUCCUGACAAGGCCUUGGCAGGCCGAAACCAGUU
rnacentral:hammerhead_ribozyme from 15 species